rnacentral:tRNA from 1 species
GUAGCGAUACAGGACAGCACAUCACAGUCCACACUGGCAGUGUGGGGGUCAGGGGUUCGAAUCCCCUUAGCUCCA